UAUAUAUAAGUGUUUGAGCACUAAAAUUUUUGAAAUUUUAAGGCAUGGUUUAAUUCUGUGAUAUAUAA
rnacentral:tRNA from 1 species